rnacentral:rRNA from 1 species
UACGGAGGGUGCAAGCGUUAAUCGGAAUUACUGGGCGUAAAGCGUGCGUAGGCGGCUGGUCAAGUCCGAUGUGAAAUCUCCCGGCUUAACUGGGAAACUGCAUCGGAAACUGAUCGGCUUGAAGGUGGGAGAGGGUAGUGGAAUUCCCGGUGUAGUGGUGAAAUGCGUAGAUAUCGGGAGGAACACCAGUGGCGAAGGCGACUACCUGGCCCAUUCUUGACGCUGAGGCGCGAAAGCUAGGGGAGCGAACGGG